AGCAUUGGUGUAGCUUAGGAGUGGUGUUUCUACAAGAAAAGUUGCAGACUCACUUCGAAUGAGUUAGUCUUCAGUAGCUCAUCUGAGGAGGGAGAUUAGUGGUGAAAUAGAAAAGCAAAGAGAAGGACGUCCAAAGGUUUUAGGAGAGCAAGAGAAGCGACUUGGUGUGCACCUUGUCACUGCUGGUUGUCUCAAAACGGCAAGUGCAGCUGCAAAACAACUUCGAGAAAAAACAGCCAUUUCAGCUCCUUCGAUGGCCAGCUCAAUCUCCAGAUUUGAAUCCAAUGGAACAUUUUUGGGCCUUCUCAAACAGCGUUUAAGCCAAGUCACUCCAAGGCCAAGAGGUGUUCAACAAUUGUGGGAGAAUGUUUGUAGUAUUUAUCCUAGUUUUGAUGCAAAAGAUUGUGAGAAACUAUACAAAAGUAUGCCAAGAAGGAUUUCAGCUGUUUUGGAAGCAAAAGGUUAUUGGACUAAAUAUUGAAGUUUGAAGAUUUUCUUUGAACAA